GAUGAUGAUGAUGAUGAUGAUGAUGAUGAUAUUCAACAUGAUCGAUCCGUGAAAGCUAUAGCAAACGUGAACCUGUCGUCAUCAUCAUCGUCAUCAUCAUCAUCAUCAUCAUCA
rnacentral:miRNA from 1 species